AGGGAUGGAUGGAUGCCCCCUUCCCACCCAAAGGUCCUGCAGAUGCACAAAGGCUGUCUGGGUCCUCAUGGAUUUUGCCACCUUGGUCACAAUUUUUGCUAUCUAGCGAGUCACCUAUUUUCGCAAAGCUUGUAGGCGCUUUGUGUCAGCAAGACUUCAACUCCUCUGCCAAAGCUAGGGGAGAUUGGCCAAAGGGUUCUAAUGUUUCUUGGAGUGGGGAUGCUGGAUUGGCUGUGAUACCCUUCUCACUUAUUUGUUCUUCAAACCACGCUGCACAAGCCUUGCAUCUUAAGAGACGAAGCUAAAAGCCACGAGUCUACAUAUUUCAGCCUUUAUUUUUGGAGGCACCUAGGGUUGCAUUUUCCAUCUGUUUCUCCACAGCUGAGCUGGCUAACAUUUUGUUUCUCAGUUUGCACUGGAGCUGGGUUCUUAGCAUUUUGCUAUGGAGAUUGGAAUCAUAUCAGUAGCAUCUCUUCCUGAGUGCAUCAGCUCUGACCACACCAGGUGGGAUGAGACCCACAGCAUCUGCUGUGGGUUUAUUAUAGCUCUGCCUGCUUACACAGAAUGGAUGUAGACCGGCAUGUAUUCAACUUCACCAAGGGCCUAUUCUGGAUAACCAAGUGUAGCUGCCUAUUUUUCUGUCACAAAAACAUGCAUCUGAAUUCAUGUUUUCACCUGGAGGGCUCAAGAAAGGGGGAGAGCAGGUCGAUCUGACCAGAUGAGUUGUCAAGAUGUCCAUCCAUCUCCCCUAAGCCACAGUUUUGUAGGCUCAGACACAGAACUGGGGCUGCAGGAAUGAAUGCUUGCACAACGCAGAUUCAAGCCCGGGGGAGGUUUUCUGUCUAAGCAGAAAAAAACAGCUUAAAAAAUAUUUUCUAUGUAUUUGUAACAUUCUGCAAGGAGAGUUUUGUCUCUUUUGCUUCACCAAUGAAUGCAGACAACUAUCUUCUUACAUUUUUGGUAUUAAAAAAAUAAAGAGUGAAACAGUGUUUUUCCAUUAGUACUUCC
ensembl:lncRNA